rnacentral:rRNA from 1 species
GUCUUUGGGGGCAGCAGUGGGGAAUAUUGGGCAAUGGCCGAAAGGCUGACCCAGCAACGCCGCGUGGUGGAUGAAGCCCUUCGGGGUGUAAACACCUUUUCUGGGGGAAGAUAAUGACGUA